rnacentral:rRNA from 1 species
UACGUAGGGUGCAAGCGUUGUCCGGAAUUAUUGGGCGUAAAGAGCUUGUAGGCGGUUUGUCGCGUCUGCUGUGAAAUUUCGGGGCUUAACCCCGGGCCUGCAGUGGGUACGGGCAGACUAGAGUGCGGUAGGGGAGACUGGAAUUCCUGGUGUAGCGGUGAAAUGCGCAGAUAUCAGGAGGAACACCGGUGGCGAAGGCGGGUCUCUGGGCCGUAACUGACGCUGAGGAGCGAAAGCAUGGGGAGCGAACAGG